GGAAGGACUGUAGCUCUGUGGUAGAGCAUUUGUUUCCCAUGCACAGUGCUUCUGGUUCAAUCCUUGGCAUCUCCA